rnacentral:sRNA from 1 species
AAAAAGGGUUUACAGAAUAAUUCUUUGAAUGUAGAACACAAGAGGCAAAGAUCCACCUUAAACAGUCUUAUACAAAAUGAAAGAGAAAGGGAGAGAGAUGGUCAUCUUCGAGCUGAAGAGGUGCGGCGGCGAGUUGGCAGCUCUCGGCGAUGACUAGGGUUUUCUUGUGAUGAAGGCACACCUAGGGUUAGGGCUUAGAACAAGUAUUUAUACUUGAGAGCCAAGAAUUAGGGUUAGGGGUAAGAACGUCAAUCCGCCGGAUAAGUAAGUGAUCAGGCCGAGUAGUGGGCUUCAGGGGAGGAGCCUAAUGACGGUGGCACAAAGAUAGAAGGACUUGUGGAUGACUUAAUGGUCGGUGGAAAGCUUCUCGG